GGCCCCGUCGUCUAGCGGUUAGGACAUCACUCUUUCAAGGUGGAGAUCACGGGUUCGAAUCCCGUCGGGGUCA
rnacentral:tRNA from 1 species